rnacentral:misc_RNA from 1 species
GAAUAAAUCUGCAAAGAGGAAGGGGCUGCGUCCUCCGCCGUUCUCCGCCUCUAGGAGAAGUUGGCUAAGGCAAUGGAAGAAAACAAGAGGAAGAAGAAGAGAGCUCAUGUGCUAACUAGAAGAAGAGAUGAACAACAUCUCUCUAAUUAUAAAGAUAAUGUGGAUGGAGAAAAAGAGAAUAAAUCUGCAAAGAGGAAGAAAAGGAAAGAUGUCAGACUUGAUGAAACUGAAAGUUUGGAAAUUGAUCAAUCUAAUGAAAGAGAGGAUGCACUUGGUCAAGAAAAUAAUGUAUCCGCUAUGAAAAGGAAAUCCAGAAAGAAGAAGCAAAAAAGUGAGAAGAAAGUACAGAGGAAUGAGACUGUUGAUCAUUAUGUUGAGGCUAACAAUGAUUCAGAUCAGAAAAGUGAGAAGGAUCAUUCACUCACAAUAACGCCGGACAACCUGGUGGAAAAGAGAGGACAAGCAGGAGAGGAAGAGAUUGAUGAACUAUCUUCUGGCGAUGAGGAUUGCUCGAAAGGAAUGAGAAAGUGGGUACUCGAUUAUGACCAGAGUAGGCCUGGGUUGAAGGUGUUGCAAGAAAGAAUUGAUGAGUUUAUUACUUCUUAUGAGGCAAAAAAGGAACAGGAAAGGAAAGAAAAAGAAGCCCUUGCUGCAGAAGAUGGCUGGACUGUUGUCGUACAUCACAAAGGAAGGAAAAAGACAACUGAUUCUGAAACUGGAAUUGCAGUUGGUUCUGUUUCCCAAGCUGCAGUCAUGGAUAAUAUGGACAAAAAGAAAAAUAAAGAUGUGGGUUUAGAUUUCUACCGGUUUCAGAAA